rnacentral:tRNA from 1 species
GCCUGGCUAGCUCAGCUGGCAGACCAUGGGACUUUUAAUUCCAUGGUUCUGUGUUUGAGCCCCAUGCUAGGCA